rnacentral:rRNA from 1 species
UACGGGGGGUGCAAGCGUUGUUCGGAAUUAUUGGGCGUAAAGAGCGUGUAGGCGGCGAGAUCAGUCAGAUGUGAAAGCCCUGGGCUCAACUCAGGAAGUGCAUUUGAUACUGUUUUGCUUGAGUACUGGAGAGGGAAGAGGAAUUCCUGGUGUAGAGGUGAAAUUCGUAGAUAUCAGGAGGAACACCGGUGGCGAAGGCGACUUCCUGGCCAGAUACUGACGCUGAGACGCGAGAGCGUGGGGAG